rnacentral:rRNA from 1 species
GAUUAAGUUAUUAAGGGCGCACGGUGGAUGCCUUGGCACUAGAAGCCGAUGAAGGACGUUACUAACAACGAUAUGCUUUGGGGAGCUGUAAGUAAGCUUUGAUCCAGAGAUUUCCGAAUGGGGAAACCCAGCAUGAGUUAUGUCAUGUUAUCGAUAUGUGAAUACAUAGCAUAUCAGAAGGCACACCCGGAGAACUGAAACAUCUUAGUACCCGGAGGAAGAGAAAGAAAAUUCGAUUCCCUUAGUAGCGGCGAGCGAAACGGGAAGAGCCCAAACCAACAAGCUUGCUUGUUGGGGUUGUAGGACACUCUAUACGGAGUUACAAAGGACGACAUUAGAC